UAACUACUCCCUCCGUUCCAAAUUACUCGUCACAGAAAUGGAUGUAUCUAGAACUAAAAUACAUUUAGAUACAUCCAUACCUGCGACAAGUAAUUCAGAACGGAGGGAGUAUUAU
rnacentral:pre_miRNA from 1 species